AGAGUUUGACCUGGCUCAGAUUGAACGCUGGCGGCAUGCCUUACACAUGCAAGUCGAACGGUAGAGGGGCAACCCUUGAGAGUGGCGAACGGGUGAGUAAUGCAUCGGAACGUGCCCAGUCGUGGGGGAUAACGCAGCGAAAGCUGUGCUAAUACCGCAUGUGAUCUGUGGAUGAAAGCAGGGGACUUGGUAGCAAUACUGGGCCUUGUGCGAUUGGAGCGGCCGAUGUCAGAUUAGCUAGUUGGUAGGGUAAAAGCCUACCAAGGCGACGAUCUGUAGCUGGUCUGAGAGGACGACCAGCCACACUGGGACUGAGACACGGCCCAGACUCCUACGGGAGGCAGCAGUGGGGAAUUUUGGACAAUGGGCGCAAGCCUGAUCCAGCAAUGCCGCGUGCAGGACGAAGGCCUUCGGGUUGUAAACUGCUUUUGUACGGAGCGAAACGGUCUGGGUUAAUACCCUAGGCUAAUGACGGUACCGUAAGAAUAAGCACCGGCUAACUACGUGCCAGCCGCCGCGGUAAUUC
rnacentral:rRNA from 1 species